AGCAGCCGCGGUAAUUCCAGCUCCAAUAGCGUAUAUUAAAAGUUGUUGCAGUUAAAAAGCUCGUAGUUGAAUUUCGGGAUCAAAUUGUCGGUCGUGCCUCGGUACGUACUGGUAUUAUUGGUUCCUCCCUUCUGACGAACCACGAUGUCAUUAAUUUGGUGUCAUGGGAAAUCAGGACUGUUACUUUGAAAAAAUUAGAGUGUUUAAAGCAGGCUCGCGCUUGAAUACAUUAGCAUGGAAUAAUGAAAUAGGACGUUUGAUUCUAUUUUGUUGGUUUCUAGGAUCGACGUAAUGAUUAAUAGGGAUAGUUGGGGGCAUUAGUAUUCAAUUGUCAGAGGUGAAAUUCUUGGAUUUAUUGAAGACUAACUACUGCGAAAGCAUUUGCCAAGGAUGUUUUCAUUAAUCAAGAACGAAAGUUAGGGAUCGAAGACGAUCAGAUACCGUCGUAGUCUUAACCAUAAACUAUGCCGACUAGGGAUCGGAUGAUGUUUAAUUUUUUAAUGUACUCUAUUCGGCGUCC
rnacentral:rRNA from 1 species